rnacentral:tRNA from 1 species
ACCUGGGUGGCUCAGUCAGUUGAGCAUCCGACUUUGGCUCAGGUCAUGAUCUCACAGUUCGUGGGUUCAAGCCCCACAUCGGGCU